rnacentral:rRNA from 1 species
GAUGAACGCUGGCGGCGUGCUUAACACAUGCAAGUCGAACGAUGAAGCCCAGCUUGCUGGGUGGAUUAGUGGCGAACGGGUGAGUAACACGUGAGUAACCUGCCCUUAACUCUGGGAUAAGCCUGGGAAACUGGGUCUAAUACCGGAUAGGAGCGUCCACCGCAUGGUGGGUGUUGGAAAGAUUUAUCGGUUUUGGAUGGACUCGCGGCCUAUCAGCUUGUUGGUGAGGUAAUGGCUCACCAAGGCGACGACGGGUAGCCGGCCUGAGAGGGUGACCGGCCACACUGGGACUGAGACACGGACCAGACGCCUACGGGAGGCAGCAGGGGGGAAUAUUGCACAAUGGGCGCAAGCCUGAGGCAGCGACGCCGCGUGAGGGAUGACGGCCUUCGGGUUGUAAACCUCUUUCAGUAGGGAAGAAGCGAAAGUGACGGUACCUGAAGAAGAAGCACCGGCUAACUACGUG